CAAGACCUAUGAUGGAAUAAGAUAAUAUGCCUACAUUGUCUGAUCAUUAUAACUUGAUUAAGCAAAUAUGGACUGAGGCCUUG
rfam:Nicotiana attenuata strain TT chromosome 1, whole genome shotgun sequence.